rnacentral:lncRNA from 10 species
GCACACAGAGCCCCAGAGAAAGGCUCAGGAGAAGGGAGACGCGUGGGACUAAUGGUCUUGGAAGCACAGCCGGGGUGACGGAAGGUAGGUUCAGGAUGGCCCCUCAGGAGACCUGAGCUCUCGCCCAAGAAUGCUGGGGCAGCUGGAUACUCUGUGUGCUGGGGGACUGCGUUCCUUCCAGCUCUGAUGUACUUAUCUCUGUCCAUAAAGAGAAAUCCCUCCCCAUCAUACUGUUGGCUUUUGGCCCUUCGUCUGCAUUACCAAACCUCGUUCUUACUGCAUCUGUGCUUCUAUUAUGAGUGGCGUCCUUCCAUCUUGAAGUAGGCAGGGUAUAAACAAAUGAAACCAGGGAUCCCAAUUACCUCACUUGUCUGUGUUCAACGGCCGAGGCACAGAGAGCCGAAAAUGCAAGAACACGGUAGCUAGGAGGGACCGAUUCUCAUGCAGGGACAACAGUGCCAGCCCCAGGCAGUGUCACAGGUGCUGGGUUGGGGUCUGGGCUGAGAAUCUGGGUCUCAUCAGUGACAUCAACAUGGAUCAUGCCACCAGCAGUGACAGCAUCUUCAUGCAGCCAGAAGCCGCUGACUCUACGAAGAAUGGAAGACGGCCUUGAGUGCUUUCCAGGUA